CCCCCUGAAUUUAAGCAUAU
rnacentral:rRNA from 10 species